CCUUAGGAGUCACAGACUACAUGGCCUCCAGGCUAAUUUAUUUGUUGGUAACACCCUUUAACUCCCAUGGUACGCUCUGCCUCUGCCUACUGUCACAAUGGCUGGCUCAGGAAUAGACCAGCGCUGGAUCAGAGUGCGGCCUCAGGAUUUUACUGCUGGGCCCAGGAGAAAGCAUUCUUUUCCUUUUCAGAGCAAAGAGCUACAAGCAGGUAUUCAUACAGUGAAGUAAUAUUUCCAAGUACUUCAUUCUACAAUGCUGUGGACACUCCCUCACCACACUUGUCCUGGCUCAUGGCAAGUCUACCACAUCUGCUCCUUUUUCUUUUUAUACAUCAGGUUUGUUUCUCUUCCCCAGUCUUUCCACCUGCUCUUCCUGAAUGCCUGCAGAUCUCUAAAUGGUUGCUUUUUGCUUCCCACCCAUGUCUCAGCCCUCAGCUGAGAGGCUGCCAGUUUAGGGACAUGAGGUUUUUGUUGAGAUAUACUUGAUACAUAAAACAACCUGUGUCUCUCCCAAAGAUGAGUGGAUCAAGAUGUGGUAUAUAUACUCAGUGAUCAGAAAAUAAAAUCAGAAAAUAUA